GCCUCUCGGGCGACGUCUCGCGUGAGCGGCCCGGAGGCGCCGGAGGAGGGCGGCAACGACGUGAACUUUGCUUUGUUGGGAGCUUCUGGUCUAAUACAGAGGGAAUACUUCAAAGGGCACUGACAAGGACCGCAGCCAGAUGCCCUGGCAUGUAAUGCACAUUUUCGCUUGCGCAUUUGUCUGACUUCUGAGCAGAGAUGGCGUGUGUAGACAGAACUGACAACAGACCCAGGCGUGUUCAGGGAUUGGAGGACACCCAGGUCAAGAGAGGAAGAAACCCAGAGGGCAGGAACAAACCGUACACGUCUCCCUUGAUGCCGGCUGCUCUCAGCAGAAGCCGCUCCGGGGCAAGCCACUUGAGAGGUACCGAGCCAGUAGAGGAGAUGGCCCCUCGGGAGUGGAUUUCAUAAGCCAGGCCCAGGCCACAGAGCUUAGCGGUGAGAUCGCACUGGAUCAGGACGUUCCUGGCUGCCACAUCCCCAUGGAACAGAUGCUUCUCCUGGAGAAAUUCCUGUCCACGUAAGAUCAAAGAUGGGUCAGCUGUCUGAGGUCACGGCUUGGGUCACAGAUAAAGAGAAGCAGUCCCAGGGAUCCUCGAAAAGAGGACAUUUUCCACUCUGCACAAGUCUCAUUAAUGACGACAUAUCACUUCCAAUUAUUUAUCAUGAAUCAGACAUUUUUGCAUUGUGUUUAGGAUCACCAAACUGAACAGAUAAUCCAAGUCAUAUUAGUACUGAGUUUGCAAAGUGUAAUCCCCAACUCUGCAUCAAGCCCUGACCUUGGCCUGAUUCCACGUUCCUCUCAGCUAAGACCCAGCUACAUGAUGGGAAGGGGAGCAGGUUGCCAGUGUCUAGCAGCAGCCCCCAAACAAGGCCAUAUACAGAGCACAGAGCAAAACUGAGUGGCAUAAUAAUAAAUUUACAUAGAGUUUUAACAUAGUUUCAUUUUGUCCCUAAAAUAACUUGAUGAGGCAAGUUAGGGAAGUAACUUUUAGAUAAAUCUAAAUGAUUAUGCAAAGCUACACAGUUACCAAGAGGUGGUGACCACAGUCAGCUGUUCUAAUUCACAGGCAGAACUACAAACUCUGCUAACACUUUUCAGGCCAGGCUGCACAUCAGAAUUGCCCAAGAGCUUAAUAAAUUCAUAAGAUGUAAGAUGUUCACCCAGGGUGUACUUAACCAAAAUCUAGGAGGAGGGACCUAGGAAUCUAUAUUUUUAAGAAGUAUCAAAGUGGUCCCUGCACAGCCAGUAAGGCACCUGAGAAUCACUGUACGUGGAUGACACCGACGUGCUGAAAUCAUUUCCCCAACAACCGAGCUAUUCCAGGCACACAGAGAAGCUGAAAACCCACCCGUGAUGGAAGAGCUAGAGCCUCGGGUCUGAGACGAUGAAACAAGCGCGGUGUGAAAAAACAAAAGGCUGAAGUUGGAGAUUUCCCAUCGGUGACAGUGAAGCGAACAGUGGCUAGCAGGGUUUGGGGUUGGGUUGGGUUUGGUUUUGGUUUGUUUUGUUUGUUUUGGUCUCUGGUGAGCUCUUAGAACAAAGAAAUUAUAUGGUAAUGAGAAGAAUUAAGGAAUGUACUGAUCCUGAAUUGUUAAAAGUAAGGGAAAUAGCAUGUUAUAACUGGUAGCCUAGGGCUCUGAGGAACACGCCUGUGUGAUCCCUCGGAACAUCCCCGCAAUGACGGUUCAGGAUGCAAGGCAGACUCUAUCCUGACACCCUGCCUUUAUCAAGAAAACAUACCAGUUAGGCCCUCCAAACACCACCGUGAACAUUUAUCUGUGUGCUGUGCCCUCUCCUCUGCCCCAUGAGAACUUCAGCCGGAGCCUUCUCUCACCUCACUGCCUCUUCUUCCCUAGGCCUUCCCUGGGUCCGUGCAGAGCUCUGGUAUACUUCGCACCUCGAAGUGGCAAGGAGUAUCAAAGCCUUAAAGCAGUGGCUUCACAGAGCCCUGAUUUUCUGUAACAAAUGCUGAUUCUAAACACAAUUAUCUAAAUAAUCUCAUAGAGAUAGUCAUCUAAAUUUGUAAUUCAGUAAAGGUAAUUUUUUCUCUUAAACCUUGAGUUCUUUCUCUUCCCUGUUUAUUUACGUUAGUUUAAAAUCAAGAAACGGUCACGUUGUCGCCCCUUCCCUUCCUCGUCUUCCACUUGUUCCCUGUUCUUUUUCAGGUAUGUGCAUUUCCUAUCACAUAUGGUAUCAAAGCAAGUCUCCAACCGCACAUGUUCUGAACUCGUAUUUCUUGUUUUUCAGAUUCAGAAGACUCAGGCUCGGAGAAGUGGCUUGCCCUGAGUCACACAGCUAGUAGGAGAUGGAGCCGAUCGUCCACUUCUUUACCUCUGCACUGCGCAGUGUGGAACCUGUGAGCCACGGGUGGCUAUCUGAACAUAUAUUAUUCAAAAUUAAAUUAAAUUGAAACUUCAGCUUCUUAGUCAUAUCAGCCACAUUUCAAGGAUUCCACGGCCACCUGUGAUUAGUGGCUACCAUAUGAGACAGAGCAGAUAUUCUAUCAAUAUAAAAAAUUCUAUUGGAUGGUGAUAAUCACUCUGUUAUGCUAUCAUAAUAUCUCUCUAUUUUGCCGUCUUUCAGGCUAAUUGAUGUGUGAACAGCUUAUCAGCCAGGUAAGGCCUUUCCUUCCUUACACCCUCCUACUGCUCACCCGGCG